rnacentral:rRNA from 1 species
CCGGUGAUUGUUUGUUUGGUUUUAGGUUGGGGUGACCGCGGAGUAUAAGAUAUCCUCCAUGAAAAAAAGCUAACUGCCCUUAUUAGAGAAAGACACUUCCAAAAAAUAAUAAAUUAAUUUUAAAUGAUCCGACAUUCGAUCAACGAACCAAGUUACCCUGGGGAUAACAGCGCAAUCCGUCCCGAGAGCCCCUAUCGACAGGCGGGUUUACGACCUCGAUGUUGGAUCAGGGUAUCCCAGUGGUGCAGCAGCUAC